CAGCCGCCGCGGUAAAACCAGCACCUCAAGUGGUCAGGAUGAUUAUUGGGCCUAAAGCAUCCGUAGCCGGAUCUGUAAGUUUUCGGUUAAAUCUAUGCGCUCAACGUAUAGGCUGCCGGAAAUACUGCAGAUCUAGGGAGUGGGAGAGGUAGACGGUACUCGGUAGGAAGAGGUAAAAUUCACUAAUCUAUCGAUGACCACCUGUGGCGAAGGCGGUCUACCAGAACACGUCCGACGGUGAGGGACGAAAGCUGGGGGAGCAAACCGGAUUAGAUACCCGGGUAGUCCCAGCUGUAAACAAUGCAAACUCAAUGAUGCAUCGGGUUGAACCCGGUGCAGUGUUGCAGGGAAGCCGUUAAGUUUGCCGCCUGGGAAGUACGUACGCAAGUAUGAAACUUAAAGGAAUUGGCGGGGGAGCAC
rnacentral:rRNA from 1 species